rnacentral:rRNA from 1 species
GGAGUCUGGGCCGUAUCUCAGUCCCAAUGUGGCCGUUCAACCUCUCAGUCCGGCUACUGAUCGCAGCCUUGGUAGGCCGUUACCCUACCAACUAGCUAAUCAGACGUGAGCCCAUCCCUCAGCGGAUUUCUCCUUUGGUGUUCAGAUGAUGCCAUCCGAACACAUCAUGCGGUAUUAGCAGUCGUUUCCAACUGUUGUCCCCCUCUGAAGGGCAGGUUGCUCACGCAUUACUCACCCGUUCGCCACUCAGUCAAAGAAGAACUUUGACGGAUCUCCAUUCUUCAGUGCUUCGUUCGACUUGCAUGUGUUAGGCAUGCCGCCAGCGUUCAUC